rnacentral:rRNA from 1 species
AUUGAACGCUAGCGGGAUGCCUUACACAUGCAAGUCGAACGGAGUGGCGAACGGGUGAGUAAGGUAUCGGAACGUGCCCAGUCGCGGGGGAGAACUACGCGAAAGCGUAGUUAAUUCCGCCUACUAUUGGACCGGCAGACCCCGGAUUAGCUAGUUGGUGGGGGAACGGCUCACCAAGGCGACGAUCCGUAGCUGGUUUGAGAGGACGACCAGCCACACUGGGACUGAGACACGGCCCAGACUCCGACGGGAGGCAGCAGUGGGGAAUAUUGGACAAUGGGGGAAACCCUGAUGCAGCCAUCCCGCGUGUACGAUGAAGGCCUUCGGGUUGUAAAGCACUUUUGGCGAGAAGGCGGUACCUGCAGAAUAAGCACCGGCUAACUCCGUGCCAGCCGCCGCGGUAAUUC